rnacentral:rRNA from 1 species
UGGCUCAGGAUGAACGCGGCGGCGUGCUUAACACAUGCAAGUCGAACGAUGAACCUCACUUGUGGGGGGAUUAGUGGCGAACGGGUGAGUAACACGUGAGUAACCUGCCCUUGACUCUGGGAUAAGCCUGGGAAACCGGGUCUAAUACUGGAUACGACCUUCCCGCGCAUGCGGUGUUGGUGGAAAGCUUUUGCGGUUUUGGAUGGACUCGCGGCCUAUCAGCUUGUUGGUGGGGUAAUGGCCUACCAAGGCGACGACGGGUAGCCGGCCUGAGAGGGUGACCGGCCACACUGGGACUGAGACACGGCCCAGACUCCUACGGGAGGCAGCAGUGGGGAAUAUUGCACAAUGGGCGCAAGCCUGAUGCAGCGACGCCGCGUGAGGGAUGAAGGCCUUCGGGUUGUAAACCUCUUUCAGUAGGGAAGAAGCCGGCCUUUUGGGUUGGUGA